AAUUUUAGUUUCCAUCAAUAAACUUUACACGUGCCUCAAACCUUCACACAAUGUCCUAUUUUGACGGCGGUGGCGGCCACAAGGCGAGCAAGAGAAGAGAAAAGAACAAAAAGAUGCAAUUGUUGGACUAGCAGGUUCGGCCGUCAAACUCGUCGCCGUCGAGAGAAAUCGUUUGGAGAUGUUGUAGAUAGGCCGUUGCUGUAAUUGGGGCUGGGGUUAGCCUCGGGUUGUGCGGAU
rnacentral:lncRNA from 1 species